rnacentral:lncRNA from 1 species
UGAUUGAUCUCUUGAUUCGAUGCAGAGGUGGCUUUGACAGGAGAGGCACGACAGAGAUGAUGGCGUAGAACUGUGACUGGUGUUUCACAGCAACUUUGGGAUUGGGAUGAAGAAACCUCACAAGAAGUUGAUGGGGUACAGGGAAGGCCAUGAUCACCACCUUCAAGUUCCUUGUUCAAACCCAAAGCACCUUCAAAUUUCCUCUUCACACCCAACCCAUAAUCAACUUUAUUUUUCUUGGAAGCCAAGCCACCAUCCACAUUCUUCUUCAAACCAUCUUCAAGUUUCCUCUUCAAGCCCAAUUUACCACCAUAACCGCUAAGACCGUGUACGUCAAUAUCGGCCAUCUUAGUUAAGAUCGUUUCCCUCUUUAC